rnacentral:rRNA from 1 species
UGGCGACCGGCGCACGGGUGAGUAACGCGUAUCCAACCUGCCCUUUACUAUGGGAUAGCCCGUCGAAAGGCGGAUUAAUACCGUAUGUUGUCAUGUUGAUGCAUAUUUUCAUGACCAAAGGCUUCGGCCGGUAAAGGAUGGGGAUGCGUCUGAUUAGCUUGCCGGCGGGGUAACGGCCCACCGGGGCGACGAUCAGUAGGGGUUCUGAGAGGAAGGUCCCCCACAUUGGAACUGAGACACGGUCCAAACUCCUACGGAAGGCAGCAG